rnacentral:rRNA from 1 species
UACGUAGGGUCCGAGCGUUGUCCGGAAUUACUGGGCGUAAAGAGCUCGUAGGUGGUUUGUCGCGUUGUUCGUGAAAACUCACAGCUCAACUGUGGGCGUGCGGGCGAUACGGGCAGACUAGAGGUAUGCAGGGGAGAACGGAAUUCCUGGUGUAGCGGUGAAAUGCGCAGAUAUCAGGAGGAACACCGGUGGCGAAGGCAGCUCUCUGGGACGGUACUGACGCUGAGACGCGAAAGCGUGGGGAGCGAACAGG